rnacentral:rRNA from 3 species
CGAGUCUUAAUUGGGCGUUAAGUUGCAGGGUAUAGACCCGAAACCCGGUGAUCUAGCCAUGGGCAGGUUGAAGGUUGGGUAACACUAACUGGAGGACCGAACCGACUAAUGUUGAAAAAUUAGCGGAUGACCUGUGGCUGGGGGUGAAAGGCCAAUCAAACCGGGAGAUAGCUGGUUCUCCCCGAAAGCUAUUUAGGUAGCGCCUCGUGAAUUCAUCUCCGGGGGUAGAGCACUGUUUCGGCUAGGGGGCCAUCCCGGCUUACCAACCCGAUGCAAACUGCGAAUACCGGAGAAUGUUAUCACGGGAGACACACGGCGGGUGCUAACGUCCGUCGUGAAGAGGGAAACAACCCAGACCGCCAGCUAAGGUCCCAAAGUCAUGGUUAAGUGGGAAACGAUGUGGGAAGGCCCAGACAGCCAGGAUGUUGGCUUAGAAGCAGCCAUCAUUUAAAGAAAGCGUAAUAGCUCACUGGUCGAGUCGGCCUGCGCGGAAGAUGUAACGGGGCUAAACCAUG